rnacentral:SRP_RNA from 1 species
GCUGGGCGUGGUGGCGGGCGCCUGUAAUCCCAGCUACUGGGAGGCUGAGGCAGGAGAAUGGCGUGAACCCAGGAGGCGGAGCUUGCAGUGAGCCGAGAUCGCGCCACUGCACUCCAGCCUGGGCAACAGAGCAAGACUCUGUCUCAA